CUUUCGUUUUCCACCCACAUACAGGCCUCCACCACUGCUGCUUUCUGUGUCAUCAGAAAGCAGCAGUGGUGCUUCAAGUCUUAGUAUAGAAAAAAAAUGCCCCUCCCCCCUCCCGAAAAACAAAAACAAAACAAAAACAAAAACAAGGGUUCAGAUCCUUUCCCGAGACAUGUUGGAUUUUAAACCAUCCUAAAACACACAUGACAGUCAAACCGCUUUGAAUGACUUCGUGACAGCCACCUUUCCUCUGAGACCAUUUCUAAUGAGGCUUCAGAGAAAAGUAGGUGGAUCAGCUGAAGGGCCAGAUGCAUCUCUCACACCUGAUACUGACCUCCCUCAGUAAUUCCCUUCCCCUUUGGACUGUGGUGAGCGUGUGUUUUGUGAGUGGCUGUUGGUGAAGAGUGUGGAGCCUAGACAUGUGUUACUUUUCCCUGGAUUUCUGGAGUCGCGUUUCCCCAGCAAUGUUGUAUAUAGCACCUGGUGACUGGACUGUAAAUAAAUAACUUCUAAUUGUACGAUUUGAAGUCCUACCUGGCAUCUAUGACAACCACACCAAGAUAUGGCAACUUUUUGGCUACAAACUCGUUGGGAAUCACCUUAAUGUAUAAAAAGGCUAUUUAAUGCCUGUCAAACUGUGUCAUCUUUGGCAUUUCCAACCAAAAGGAAAAAAGAAAAUCGUAG
ensembl:lncRNA